rnacentral:misc_RNA from 1 species
GAUGAAGAACGCAGCGAAAUGCGAUACGUAAUGUGAAUUGCAGAAUUCAGUGAAUCAUCGAGUCUUUGAACGCACAUUGCGCCCCCUGGUAUUCCGGGGGGCAUGCCUGUCCGAGCGUCAUUGCUGCCCUCAAGCACGGCUUGUGUGUUGGGCCUCCGUCCUCCUCCCGGGGGACGGGCCCGAAAGGCAGCGGCGGCACCGCGUCCGGUCCUCGAGCGUAUGGGGCUUCGUCACCCGCUCUUGUAGGCCCGGCCGGCGCUUGCCGACACAUCAAUCUUUUUUCCAGGUUGACCUCGGAUCAGGUAGGGAUACCCGCUGAACUUAAGCAUAUCGAUAAGCGGAGGA